CGCUGCGCCUGCGCCCCGCGACCCCCGGCCAGGCCCCGGGCCGGGGCGCAGGGCGCAAUGGCGGCAGGAAGACGCGCGCCUCCUGCGGUCAAGCCCCAUUCCUCCAUCCCGCAAAGCUUCCUCACGCGGCCCUGGACACAGCUUGGUGGCCACGGCCGAGCUCGUCACGCGCGGAGCCGCGCGCCGGCCCAGCAGUCAGUCGCACAGGCUGAUGCCCAGCCCACUGUCCCGUACAGGCCCAGCCGCAGCUGUUUCCUCACCCCCACUCCCCAAACGCCACCAGCGCAGCAACUGGAAAGAGAGUCAUUCUCUAGAUUCACCCGUCACAGAGAACCGCCCAAACUGAAGACACCUGUGGUCACAGUGGAGCCGGUCAGACAGAUGUUGAACCAGUCAGGACAACUUACCACAUUUCAGAGAUGCAAAACUGAGGCACAGAGAGAUUAAGGGGCAUGUUCAUGGACACACAGCUAAGAGGUGGCAGAGAUGGGAUUCCAACCCAGAGGGCCUGGCUCGAAUCAAUGCUGUGUUCCUUCCUCCACAGUAACACAGCAGAGAGGAAUCAGACCAAGUUCCCACUCCAGCAGUGGAUACAGAAAUGACAACGGAGGACUGAUCAGUGUGAUGAGGGCCCUGGGUCCCUGAGAAGGGACACAGACCGACCUUAGACCUCUGGCGGCUAUGGGGAUGGAGCCAAGUGAGAAGCGGUGUCCUGUGUGCUUGAAGAUACGGCAGGUCCAGAAUCAGUCCAGGUGAUCAGCCUACGGCAGACACCGUUCUCUUCAUUUGGCCACCCUACUAUUCAGAUCCAAGAUACCUUAG